rnacentral:tRNA from 1 species
GGGGAUACAGCUCAGUGGUAGAGCAUUUGCCUUGCAUGCAGUCAUCCCUGGGUUCAAUCACCAGUACCACCA